UCCCCAGCGAGAUAAGGGCUAAUAAAACGCUUGAGGUGGCGUUUUGAGGACAUGGCAUGAAGACGAACCGCCGACGGGGAGUAGGUGGUAACGAAGGGGAGAUGAGGGCCAACAGCAACCGCUUUGGUUUCUCUGAACGUUCCGAGGGCCUUUCUCAGAAACGAUCUGCAGUACCCUCUGGUGGACAACGCAGAGAAUAGUACCUUGGUGGCUGACUGAAAGUCCCCAGGCCUAGAGCAGAUCCUAUGGAACCUAAGCAAUUGUGAUUUUACAAGCCCGGCAUAUGUGUGUCUGUGGUGAAAGCUGGACUUGUGCAGCAGAGCGUGUGUGUCAGUGUCUUUAAAGUAGACCUUGAUGUCCAGCCGGGAUGUGGAUGGGAACUCUGGGCCCUUAAAUGUGGUCGUGUCUAGGAAGUCAACAGAGGAGGGGCUAAAGAUGGUUCUACAUUGUCUGCAUUGGAUGGCAUAAACAACAUUGGUGGAAAGCAGCGAGAAGGUCUGCCAGAUGGGAGUUUGCCAAGUUGAAGAUGUAUUUGAGAGAAGUUGGCCUGGUCGGAUGGAAAGAGAGCGGCUACUUCAUGCUUGAUAGUACGGAGAAAGCGUUUGGAGUAACCGCGGGGCCUAAGGGCCUCAAAAAGGGUCCUAGUAGCCUCCACUACAUGUAAAGAAGACUAUGGUGUCCAAAAAGGGGACCUGCUGGAGAUGAAGAGUAUGUUUAAGUGUGAUACGGGGGUGGUGUGAACUAAGAAUGUGAAUAAAGUGAUUUAAUUCUGUCUCGGAUUUAUCCCAUAAGCCAAAAAUGUCAUCAAGGUACCGAUAAUAUAGGAGCGGGCGUGACGGGCAUUUGAGAAGAGCUGAUUCUUCCCAGUCAGCCAAAUAGAUGUCUGCAUAGGCCGGUGAAUAUUUUCUACCCAUAGCGCAACCGCUUAUUUGGAGGAAAAAAGAUUUAUCAAACAGAAAAUCGUUCUGGGUAAGGGUAAGCUGUAAAAAUUGUAAAAUAAAAUAAUCAGGACGAGAUAAAACGGGUGAUGAUUCCAAGGCUUUUUUUUUAACAGCCUCCAAGCCAAGAGAAGUAUCGAUAUUGGUAUAGAGAGAAAAUAAACAUUUAACCGUCCCCAUUUAACCGUCGGGGACGGUUAAAUGUUUCAGUUUAUUUACAAAUGUAUACGUAUCUUUGACGUAACUCGGGUGUGAAUGGGACAGGGGAUUUAUAUAAUAAUCAAAAAAUUCUGCCAGGCGAUAAGAAUCCGAACCACAGUCGCUCACAAUGGGACGACCCGGAGGGACCAGAUAUGGUACAGUCCAGCUCUCUGGGGCCUUAUGUUUAUGAUCAAAUGAUCUGGCAUGAG